rnacentral:rRNA from 1 species
UACGUAGGGUGCGAGCGUUGUCCGGAAUUAUUGGGCGUAAAGGGCUCGUAGGCGGUUUGUCGCGUCGGGGAGUGAAAACUCAGGGCUUAACCCUGAGCCUGCUUCCGAUACGGGCUGGCUAGAGUACGGCAGGGGAGACUGGAAUUCCUGGUGUAGCGGUGGAAUGCGCAGAUAUCAGGAGGAACACCGGUGGCGAAGGCGGGUCUCUGGGCCGUUACUGACGCUGAGGAGCGAAAGCGUGGGGAGCGAACAGG